rnacentral:lncRNA from 1 species
CUGGAAUCUUGAGCUGCAUACAUAAAUUUGAAGUGGUCCGCUGAAGCUUGUUAUCAACAAAAAGUAAUUAGAAAUGGCAUUUUGCCUUCCUAUUUGAAUGAGAAUGGUCUUCAAACGUCGACCUAUGGCCCUGUAACACUAUAUUGCUCUACUCUGAAGGGUAUAAACUUACAAAGUCAAUGUUGGUAAGCUAGACUAACCAAAUGUACACAUAUUUUGUCCUGGCAUUGCCAUCUAGUUGUAAAGUCACCUUGAGGUCGUUUGGAAUAAUGGUAACCAACUAAAUGAAUCCGGUGCCUCUUCUGUGAUGUGUACAUCAUAUAAGUCAUGCAAUAUAACUGUAGCAUUUGCUCCAUUCCGAUCAACUGUUGUUCUUGGGUCUCUUGGCAGAAACCAGGUACGCACGAUUUACUUUGGUUGAUUACGAGUUAACAAGAGUAAUUGUCCUCAUGAGUCAUUGCAGUUAAGAGGUACCCACUUAUAAUUUAGGGCCAUUGAAUUAUUUCUAGGGUAAGGACCAGUAAUUAUCUGAUGCAAAUUGUAACAAUGCCUUUGUAUGCUGUUUUUGUUGUAGUAUAAAUUUAUGCAAUAAAAAAUGCUGGUAAGACUUGCAAAACAGAAGAUUAAUUGCUUAUAUAGAAUAUAUCCAGCAAAUAAGGUGUAAUAUUUGAAUAGCAAGUUCAAGAUAUGAAGUGGCAAAUCCACAACCAUAAAUUUACAACCCCCAUGUCCACAUCAGUAGAAGCAGAACAGACAAAAACCAUCAAAAUUCUGAAGGAAUAGAAACGUCAAAGCCUUUUGCUGCAGCACACAAGUUCUCACACACAACACACACAAAUCUUGCACACAUGUCUGCUGGUAGUUCUCAUGUUUCUAUGGCCUGAAGUUAUCCCGGACUUAGAAAUGAGUUGACAAAGGCCAAGAACUUGUCUCCAUGGCCACCUCACAACUCACAGGAGCACUGGUACUUGACCUCUAUUUAUUUUCCUUACAAGUAUAUGGAAGAACUCGCAAAGAUUUGUGUAGGAGUUACAUAGUUAUUUCCCCUUUUGCUGGGUUUUUGUUUAUUAUAUCCACAGCAUUUUCUUGCCCCUAGGAACUAACCCGUUCACAAUUUGAUCUAACAUUGCAUACAGAGAUCAAGAAAUGGCUUGUUCAUCCACAUAUAGAGUUCCCAGUGGGUUAGGAUUCUUGGGGCCUUCCAAGAUUGGUCGGAAUCCUUUGAAAAACAAAGGUGGUGUCCGGUCAGGAGCAAAGUAUGUGGUACCAACGUGUGCAGUCUCCUCUGCUAGGCCAGCGUCACAGCCUAGGUUCAUACAGCACAAGAAGGAGGCCUUCUGGUUCUACAGGUUUCUUUCCGUAGUAUAUGAUCAUGUUAUAAACCCAGGGCAUUGGACUGAGGACAUGAGGGAUGAUGCAUUGGAACCUGCUGAACUAUACGACAAUGAGUUUAAGGUUGUUGAUGUUGGCGGUGGAACUGGGUUCACUACAUUGGGGAUUGUCAAGCAUGUGGACAACGACAAUGUGACUCUGCUGGACCAGUCACCACACCAGAUUGAGAAAGCUCGGCAGAAGGAGGCACUGAAGGGGGUGACCAUCAUGGAGGGUGAUGCUGAGGACCUCCCCUUUCCGACUGACACAUUUGACCGCUAUGUCUCUGCUGGAAGGUGAUGCUCUUAUCAAUUGUAUGGAUAUCUUAUCUUAUAGUACCUCUUUGUAUAUACUGAUCUUAUGCCAGCUUGAGUAGGCUAGUAUUUUCUUGACCUUCAUCCUUUCCUGCUGCUACUUACUACUAUUAAUGUCAAUACCUUGUUAUUUCCUGUCUUAAUAUAUCUAGAUUUGUAGCCAAUCCAGUUUUAGUUGACAAAAUCCAUCUGACCGCAGUAUAAACAUUAUAAACACAAUGGUUCAGUUGCCUGCCAGGAUAUAUUGGUACUGGUGCAAUUUGAAGCAAAUGAUAAUGCUCUUGUUUCCAGCUGUCCAUGAUUCGAGAAUUGUUAUUGAAGUCCUGAUACUCUGCUGGAAGAAAUGAUCUAACUAUCUUCAGAUCUGUAGACAUGUACAGAUACCUUUGGUUAAUCCUUUCCUAUAUGUUAAGCUGCUGCUUGAACAUUGAAAGGAGUGUAUAUUUGCGACCUGGCUUAGAUUUUAUUAUUGUGAGUCGAAUGCCAUAUCUCUUAUGCCUCCGUUUCAUCAGCCAUGCUUAUAGAUGGUGUUAUUCUCCAGCAUUGAGUAUUGGCCUGACCCGCAGCGAGGAAUCAAGGAAGCUUACAGGGUCGUGAAGCCUGGCGGGCUUGCCUGUUUGAUUGGUCCAGUUCACCCAACAUUCUGGCUAUCUCGCUUCUUCGCCGACAUGUGGAUGCUCUUCCCCACAGAAGAAGAGUACAUAGAGUGGUUCACCAAGGCAGGGUUCGAGGAUGUCAAGCUCAAAAGGAUCGGGCCUAAGUGGUACCGUGGUGUUCGUCGGCAUGGCUUGAUCAUGGGAUGCUCCGUGACAGGCGUGAAGAGAGCUUCUGGCGACUCCCCUUUGCAGGUACAUUCCAUGCAUCCGUAGCUGCCAGACUUUGUUUUCUCCAUCUCAAUGUUCCAAGUGUGUUGAUAUCACUUAUCAUUGGUAUGUUGUUGCUGCAGCUUGGUCCCAAGGCUGAGGAUGUUGAGGAACAGGUGAAUCUUCUCGCCUUCCUCUUCCGCUUCGCCAUCGGGACGAUAUGCGCGUCGUACUACGUGCUAGUGCCUAUCUACAUGUGGAUCAAGGAUCAGGUUGUUCCCAAAGGCCAGCCGAUUUAAGCAAUGGUAGUGAAGAUCCAAUUUUGGCUUCUGUAUGUUAGCGACCUGUAGUGCUUGCAGUUCCCUACUCAUGUAUGUUUGUGCUUUUCUUUCCGUCAAAAUCUUGUUUAUGCAAAGGGACUUUGUUCACUAGCAGAAUUGUAGAGGCUAGGGAUGUAAUAUUCCCAUUUAUCGGAUGAAAUGCAAAGGAGCUUGAUGAAGCGUCAAAAUGCAUCCUCUAACAUGGUGAAAAUUGCCAUCGAAAUAAAUAAGAGCUCUGAGACCAAAUUUUGAACUGAAAAUUCGGUGGCGAACUUGUUAGGUUCAAAUUCGGUAAGUCUCCUUGUUGUCUUUCAUAUAUCCUGUAUUCCUGUAUUCCAUACCUACAUAUGCCCACAUUACCAAGACCACACACUGGAAGAGGAAACAGGCAUGAAGUCGCUACAUCAGACCAUGAGUCAAGAAGAGAUCAUAUGCUCUGAACAUGUCAUGCAGAAAGCCAUGAAGUCGCUACAUCAGACCCAACAGACAUUACAAAAGAAAAGUAGAGCAGCUAUAUGAUUCAACAUGUAUGAUAUCAUGGAGAGAAUAUUACUGCAAGUAAUUGUUUGAUAUCAGACAACGCGAACAAUGCAUGCUAUAUAUGUACCACCAAAAAUCUGUCUUUGCAGUUACAUGUAUGCAACAUGAAGAGUAGCUCCCAGCAAAAAAAAGAUAACAUGAAGAGUCGCAAACUUAACUCACAGAAAACAGGACACAUUUUCAGAACAUAAUGAAAAAAACAACUACACAGAACAGAUCACCUCCAACGCCAUAAGAUUGAGGUGCUUCUUAUGCCCCGAAACAUCCGAGAAGUUUCUUGGGAGCCAGCCCGGUUGCACGGUACUUUGCUGCCAUCUCCUCGGCCUUGAGAACUUCUUCACCACGCCGGGCCACUACCAUUGCUCUCUUCUCUUCAGCUUCCCUGUGGGCGAUUGCCUUUCUGUUCUUCAUCUUCUCAGCGUAUUUGGCCUUCUUCUUUUCCAACUCUUCCUGAACGCUCGUAAAAUUCCAGAACAUUAGCCGAUCAGUGGACGCACAUAAAAUUCCUCUAGGAGAAGUGGCUACAUAGCAUAUUGAAUAGAUAGACAAUAACUUCUCAGCUAGUCAAGGUCACCAGAAGACAUAAACGAGUUCUCUCUUUUUUUUCUAGAGAAAGAAAUAGUGAAUUUUUAUAUAUGCACUGUUCAUAUUAUGUGCCAAGGUGGAGCAGGUGGCCAAGGAGAUGUUUACCCAGCAUGGACAACGUUUUAGUCUUUCGGAUCGGUCUUCCAAGACCUUAAGCUGUUUCCUUUUGUGUUUAAACUAUGUCGUUACAUGUUAUGGCUGAACUUUAUUGUUGGCCUGUAAUGUUGUGUCUGUGGGAUUCUACUUAUGCAUAGGCUGGGAGUAAACUCUUAUGGUUGUAUUGCCUUGAUGUGGCAAGAGUCGAUAGAUUCUUUUUCUCGAAGGAAAGAAGAACUUCCUUGUUUGCAUCCUACUCGAACAUAUCACUAAAGUGUGAAAAUAUGAAGUUCAAUGGAAGUAUUGUAAAUGUACCGGUAAAUAUGCAGACCACUCAUGGUUUGAAAAAAAAGGCAGGUCAUUCAAAAUCCCCAGCAAUAAAGAAAGGGAAUAACGAACUUGGUAAGAAUAAAAUAUACCAGAAUCAUAACUUGAGAAACAUGAAAUUGGAAUGGAGGACUUACUUCCUUCCUUUUGAGUUGAGCAUCUAUGGCUGCCUUCUUUGUGUUCUCCCAUGAAAGAAUGGACGAUAGCUUCUUAGCAGCCCUGUUGUGACAUAGACAGCAAGGGAUUAAAUUUAUUGUUUUCAAUUUAUUUGGAGUUAUGAUUUGCAACUUAUUUCCUCGAUAUAUAUAGGAUGUUGUGACGCAAUGGGGGCAGUGAAUAGCAAAGCUUCCAGUGACAACUUUCCGGUUUUAAGUCUGUGACAGAGUUUUCCAGGGCUGGCCAGUGAAACAUUCAGAUUACUGAACAGGGAGGGGUGCUAAAAAAGGAUGGAUGCUUGAUCCAGCUAACUGACAGUCCCAGUGCAGAAUGAAGGGGUGACAAUGGAUCUAUUGUUCAGAACUUACUUGUUCUCAGCCUUGGCCUUCUCGUUCUCCACCCAUGCUUUGAUCAAAGAGCUCAUCUUCUCCGUCUCCACCUUUGCAAGAGCGACGUCUGAAAGCAGGUUAUAUUAUGUAUGCUGUCAGCUUAGUCGGCUGUAUUCAGCAGAGACGAGAAGAAGGAACGGAGUUGAAUCAUCAUUCAGUCACCUCUUUCAUGUGAGCCCCUGUGGAUGUUCUUCUCAGGGCGAGGUUUUUCGGCAGCUUCUGCACAAGAAACCGGAGCAAAGUGUCAGAAAUCAGGUGCGGUGACUUGACUGACUGAACCUUGUGGAACAGAUAGAAAACAUGGCGAACAGGACAGGCAAUAGUUGAUCCUUCCACAUAUGAACCCUCUUCACAGUUGAGAAUGGUUAGCAUGUCUCGGAAUAGAUCCUUGGACAACAAGUAGGUUAGUAUACUCACUGCUGUCGACGACGACGAGGGCCUUGGAGUCAUCGGCCACGGCCGGUGGCUUGGCCCCCGGGGGAGGCGGGAUGACCACCGGCACGUCCUUCUCUGCGGCCGCCUCCGGCGCCGCAGCAGCCGGCACCGCCUUCUUGGCUUCCUCCCCGGCCAUCACGCACGCACGCGCACAGGUGCUUGUUGCGGCGAGAAACUUCCGCAGCUGCUUCACUGUCUGUCACGCUAGCGAUACUCAACCGCGGCUUGACGCGGAGCAAUAUAUAGAACGGGUUUAAGUGGCUCCGCUGCCGUUAGCCUGGCCUAGAGGAAAAGUUUUUUUUCUAUAUUUUUUUGACAGGGGCCUGGAGGAAAGGUUGGCCAGCGGGGAGGUGGAAGGAGGAGGAAAUAAAUAAUUAGUAGGCUAUAUAUCCGGGAGCUUAUUUAGUGGGGCUGCUUUUAGCAGGUGCGUGCGUGGGCGUGUACGUGUGCGUGGGUGUUGACACACCCACGGGAAAAUUCAAUGAAAUGACGCGCGCCUCGGCCUUGGUCUGCCAACGGAACGGAGGCCGUCCAUCGGUGGUUUUCAUGGCGCACACGCGCGGGCCGUGCCGUCCGGCCUCCGGGCGUCCGCCUCCUCCGACGCAUCGGACAUCGCGCGGCCGUUGUGCCCGAAGGCGGAAGGACCCGGGCGGGCAGGGACAGCCGGACAGGGACAGUGCAGCGUUGAAUUGGCACGUUCGGGGAGUAUAAUUCUCACAGGUCCAAGUAGGUGGGAGCACAGUACGGUACAAACCGGACUAUCGAAUCCUAGGGAUAUAUUCGCCGUCAAGCUGCGGACGCGGCUUAAAAACGAUCGAUCCACAGCUGGAAAACAGCACAAGCAAGGGCUGUUGCCUUUGCCUUGUGUUGGUACAAUACAAUCGACGUCGAUGCUAAUGAUCAUUCCUAAGCCGCCUUCUUUUUCUCAUCCCACUGAUUCGCUCCUGCAUCAUGUCUCCACUUUAAUUAUCUUCGUCCCUACGUAAACAGACGGUUGUAAGCCACACUAAACUGCUACUACAGCGCGAUCCUCCAAUCUCUGGGCUGUAUUUUGCGCAUUAAAGCCCACCACGAGCCCACCUGUUUUCGUGUCUCCGGUCUCACCAGCUCGUCUCUUUCCCGUCCCGCGUCGUGCCGGACCAGCCUGUAUCGACACUUUCAGACUUUCAGUUCAGGCAGCCGCUGGUCUCUUCUUUUUCCAAGAAGAAACCUUUCCAGAACCGUGAUAUUCAGAAUGCAAACGCAAAUACCGUCGCCAUGCAAAAAUACAAGGAAACAAUGGCGCUAGUGGAGUGCGUUUCAAGGCAUUUUGGCGUACCUACUCGAUUACUAUAUCUCAUUUUUUGAUAAAGACGCAGUCUUCACAUCAGUUGUGAUGUGGAAACCAUCUGGCUGCUCGCUCAUGUAGUGACAUGAGCUGUCGCCGGCGCUUUGAUUAUUGCUUCCUGCCUGCUUUCUUGGAUCGCCAGUAGGUCUAUUCGCAAAAAAAAAAAGGAUCGCCAGUAGGUCUGGAAAGCAAGUAAGAUUUGGUGGCCUGCCAACUUGGACGAACCCCGCUAGACAGAGAGAGAGAGAGAAAAAAAAAGGAUUGUGAUAUUUGGCACACGUGUGCCAUAUAAGCAAAACUGUCACACCUCUACUUUUUUCAUUUUAAAGUACCACACGAUUACUCGUCCUUUGACCUCGCCUCCUCCCAAACGACCCUGUAGGCUCGCCCGAGAAAUCUGCUUCACCCGCACAUCUCGGGCGCCCACCCCUGAGAAAACUGUCACUUCUUCACGUCUACCCCAUCAUUUCUCCUCAGGACAAAGUUACCAUGGUAUUUGUAUGCAAGUUAUCAGGCCUGUGUUGCAUAACUUACCGUGCUAUUUACAUAGAAUGUACCAGGUAUCUAUGCUUCAACAACUACAUCCCUUCAAAGGUACCACUGUGUUUUGUACACAAGUUAUAAGGUCUUUGAUGUGUAAAAUACCGUGCUACUUACACAUAAGUUAUCAGAGUAUAUGUAUAUCAACCUCCCCCCGGUCAAAGUUAUCAUGAGGGAUUGUACAUGAGUUACCGGGUCUACAGUUCGUAUACUAUCAUGGUACUUGCACCUAAAAACCUGGGUGUGUUUCGGUAGCUUUUUCCAUAGGUCAAAAAUUACCAUGAAGUUUUUGCGUAACUUAUCACGCCUAUAGCACGUGUGCCCCUCAUGACACUAAACAUUAUGUGACUUUCUCGUGGCACGCCAUGCGUUCUGUUCAUCCAAGAGGCCCACGCGCGAGGCGAGUGUAUGUUUUUAACAACUUAGUUUCCUUUGAUAAAAAAGUUACCAUCAUGUUUAUAUUGCAAGUUAUCGGUUAUGCGGUGCUUAUAUUAUCAUGUUAUUUACACAAAAAAUAUUGAGGAUGUUUUGAACAACUUUUUCCCCAGACAAAAAGUUAUCAUGGUGAUUCUAGGUAACCUAUCAAGCCUGUAGUGCUUAAAAUAUCAUACUAUUUACACAAAAUUUAUCAGGGGUAUGUUUUAGCAAAUCCCCCUCCCCCCACGGGUCAAAAACUUAUGAUGGUGUUUAGUUAUCGCAGUGCAUAUAUUUUCAUGCUAUUUACACAUAAAAAUGCAGGAGAGGGAGGUAUACUAUCGUGCUAUUUACACAGAAGAUGCCGGAGUAUCUUUUCAAAAAAAAUUCCUACGGUCAAAGUUACCAUGGUAUUUCUACCUCAGUUAUCAGAUGUGCGCUGCGUAUAUUACCAUCUAUUUACACAUAAAUUAUCGGGUAUCUUUUCACAUUUGUCUUCCCCAAUGGUUAAAGUUACCAUGAUGUUUGUAUCUAAAAUAUCAGGUCUAUGGCGUGAAUGUUAUCCUGCUAUUUACAGAAAUUACCGGGGGUCGGGUUCAACAAAUUUAUUCCCAAUGAUCAAAGUUACCACGAACAUGUCAAAAACAGUAUUUCCCUUAGCUUGCUCAAUAACGAGUAUCAUAGGUGAGGUGGUUAGCUCCCUUUGUUGAUAACCUGCAGAACAGAGAUCAAAUCCUAGUCCAAGCAUUAUUUUUGCUGAAAAUCGGGAAGGCGCGUGAGCCAUAAUUGACGAUUACGAAAAUUAGGAAGGCACGAGCAAGUGUGCCCGCUAAAAUCGGGGAGGGCGUGCGGGAAAGGAAAGAAAUCGGGGGAGGUCGUGCAAUCGGGGAGGGCGUGCGGGAAAGGAAAGAAAUCAGGGGAGGUCGUGCGGGAAAGGAAGAAUAUCGGGAGGCGUGCAGGAAAGGAAGGAGAUCGGGAGGCGCGCGGGAAAGGAAAGAAAUCAAGAGGACAUGCGGGGAAGGAAGGAGAUCGGGAGGGAACUGACGGCGCUGGAUGCGUGUGGCAGUUUCGCAAUCUGCCACACGGUUGCCAAAUACAUUUUUUGAAAAAAAAAACUAACACAGGACCAAAAUAUGGCUAGACAAAGAGAAAAAAACCAAAGCGAACAAAACAACUACUGUAACUUUUGCUUUGUGGAAUACUACAACAACAACCAUCAGACACCAAUCAUCUCACUACGACAAAGUUACUCCAAAACCAAGCUAGCUUGUACAUGGGAGAAAGUUCGCAAACAGACCGCUGGAGGCGGGAUGCGAAGGGAGUCACAAAGAAGAACAAGGGACCAUGAAUAGAAGCCGAAAAGACUGCAGGUUUCAUUGUUGCUUGAAAACUUUGAAACAUUUUCUACAUUUUCUAGUUCCGAGUCAACUGAGAAAUAGUUUAGUUAACCUUAGUCGACUGAGAAGUAGUUAAAUCUCAGCCAGGGAGUUAAGCGUUGUUUUUUCUGCUAAUAUUAGCUCCGGCUGCAUCAUUUGUGGAUGUUUUUUUCCUGAGAAAUAUUCGUUGUUCGUUUGAGUGGCCAGAUUGUUCGUGUCUUCGUGGGUUGUUGUUUUAUUUGUCUUGUUGGGCUUUUCUUGCGAUUCUUUUGGCCCAUAGGUUGUGUUGUUUUAUUUGUCUUGUUGGCUUUUCUUGCGAUUCUUUUGGCCCAUAGGUUGUUGCAGAAGUUCAAAAUAGUAAUAUUUGUUGCAGUUUUUUGUGUUCAAUUGAUUGGGUGAGACUGAAGCACUAGAAAAAGUGGUGAUCUGCAAUGGGCUCGGUGGGUUCAACAGUGACCAUCGACUAAGGGCCGUCAAUUGGUGCUUGCGGCGACUUGUGGUUUGUUUUCACUGUAAAAUGCUGAGAUUUCUGAGAUGUUGUUGAUCCCCUUUGCUGACUUUGCUUUGUGAAAUUUGCCCCGUACCACUCGGUGUAGCUGUUUUCUUGAUUGGACUGUUUCCUAAUCUGUAGCUAUGUGGUGAACAACAUUACCAUUUGUUACAAAAAAACGUGCAUAUCAUAUGGUAAAAUGGGCUAAGGUUUGCCGGUCCAAAAGAAUAGGUGGACUGGGGAUCAAGGACCUCCACAAGCAGAACAUUAGUCUGUUAACUAAAUGGUGGUGGAAGCUUGAAACUAACGAUGGGUUGUGGCAGCAAAUUAUUCGUGCCAGAUAUUUCAAAACAAAACUGUGGCUAAUAUUCGUAGUCGUUUUUCGGAUUCCUCUUGCUGGAAAGCGAUUAUGAAAGUUAAGGAGACUUAUAUGGCAGGAAGGGCUGUCAAGAUUAAUAGUGGUAACUUGGCUAGGGUUUGGCAUGACCCAUGGUUAGAUGUUGCCCCCUUGUGUGAAAAAUUCCCUAUCAUGUUCAGCAUAUGUCAGGAUUAGGAUGGGACCAUUGCUGAUUUUGUGGCAAAAAAUUACAAGAUGGGCUUUAGGCGCAGGCUGUUUGGGGAGGUUAAUGAUCAGUGGGAGUGGGUGGUAUCCGAGGCAAAAAAAUAUGCUUUAAACACUAUCCCUGAUACUGUGUUUUGGAGUCUCAGUAAGAACAAAAGAUUUACCACUAAAUCUGUGUAUGAAUGGUUGGAGAGGGAUUUAGCUGGUCCUAACUACAAGUGGAUCUGGAAAGCUAGUAUCUCAUUGAAAAUCAAAAUAUUUCUGUGGCAGCUAUUUCAAAUGUUGUGCUUACUCGGGAUAAUUUGCGGAAGAGGAAUUGGCCCGGGAAUCCUGUUUGCUCUUUCUGCACUAACAUAGAAACCGCAAACCAUCUAUUCUUUACAUGUUCUGUUGCUCGAAUGGUCUGGGGAACCCCGGGUAUCACGGCUGGAGCAUCCUGUUGCCCACGGUCUCUAUGGCAAAGCUGGGCGUGGUUAUAUAAAUUCUUCCCAGGUGGAAAAAAGUUCUACAUGAUGAUUAUUGUUGCUUUGUGUUGGGGGAUCUGGUGUCUUCGAAAUAAAGUCACUUUCGAUAAAUAUAAUGCUCGUUCUCCAUCGGAGGCUGUUUUCAGUGCAUGCUCUUUUAUGUUGUAUUGGACAGGACUGCUGAAAGAAGAAGAUAGGUCGAAGUUUCAGGCGGGCGUGAAGAGGUUGGUGUAUGCGGCAGCAGCUCUGGCGGACAGGUCUCACUCGCGAGGUGUGAUGCUUUUGAAGGAUGGAGAUGGGAUCCAGAUCGGCUAACCUGCUCGUUUUCCAGUCCACUGGGGUUUGAUGCCCGGCCUGGAGUGAUCUGUGUUUUUGGAGGAUUAUCUCUUUAUGCCCUGAGUAGGCUAUGUAACCUCUCAGGUUUCGCACUAUGUCUUUGUGGUUAGGGUAGUGGCUAGUCAGUGUCGUCAGGUUUUCGUCCCAUGGCGGUUGAUCCGUUUUAGGGUCCUCUUGCGGUGGGUUUCCUGUCGAUGCUCCAGCUCGCUCCUCCCCUUUCAGUCUUAUUUUGGGUUGUUGUCUUGGAAAACUACUGGAACAUUAUAUUUCCGUUGAUUGCAAAAUUAAUGGAAAGGGGUGCAAGCCCGGUUGGAAAAAAACAAGUACUUCAAUCUGUCCAGGAAACUAAGUAGCCCUUUCUGUUCAGCAGUUUAUGUACUUGCUUCUGAAGCACUAAACUCAGCUAUAUUUAUAGAACAGCAGCAACAAACAAAUAAUAGUAGAACACAAUAGAACUCAUCAGAUCAAGACAGAUAUGUAAUUUGUAAAAUAGCUGCUUACAUAGAUGUUUCAAUUAUACAUUGAUACAUGGAAGAACAAUAUGUACUUGUAUGUAUUUACAUAUACACAAGGAGGAUGCACAACAUUUCUUAUCAGAUCAUUCAUUUUUCAAAUCGGAGAGAUACUGGUAUCACAGCACUAUGGUGACAACAAACUUAGUGAAUUUCUGUUUACGUAGUACACUUCACACAUACUGUACUAGUUUUCUGGGAUUGGAGCAUAAUCCUGUGGCUCUUCAAGGCGAGCUGGGGCAACAGCAGCUACAACAACUGAGGCACCAAAUAGCACAACAACCAAUGCCGUGAAGUUCACCAGAAAUGACUCUGGUCCAUAUUUGUCGAUGCCCGAGCUUUGGAGGAAGGUGAGCUUCUCCAGAAACCCAAGUUCUGCCGUUGCCAGGGCUAAAAUGUAAACGAAGAUCCCAAGUAGUACGUGCCAAGGAAGAGCACCCUUCCUCACAUUUGGCGCAGCCUUGGGGAAGAAGAAGGCCAAGAAUCCAAAUAUCCACUGUCACGAACGCAAAUUAAAGAGCACUGGUCAAAACUCAAUUAAAAAAAUCUACAAUUCUUUUGACUUCAACUAUAAUGCAACUUCCUAGUUCAACAAUUGUGGCAUGCAUCAGCUCUAAACCAAUCCAUUUUUCUUUUUAGAGUAAUCCAGUACUCAUACUUUAGUAAAUGCUUUAAAUAUUGUCUGCCUGUUCUACUGUAAGUGAACUGUGUCAGCGGACUCAUAAAAGGUUAAAAAACUACAGUCAUCUACAAAUACGUAAAACCAAUGUGAUCAAAUGAACCAGAUUGAUAAAUGGAACAGAGAAUUGCCACGAUAUCGGAAGUCGAAAAGUCAUACCUGAAUACCAUAUAGAGAAAUUGUUCCUAUUCCAAGCCAAGAAUGCAGACUGUAAAGGUUCGCAAUUCCAGUUUCAUUGUGAUUCUUAAAAGCACAGUAUAUCCCGACCGCACCGAGCACAAGCGCAAUAGCAUGGAGCACUAGAUGGAUCAACUUAGUUGUAUCAUGGUUCACCGUAGGUAGUACCUUGUAUAUCAUUAUAGCUGCCAAAAUGGACAAAGUCUUACAAACAAAAGAAAAAUCACAAGCCAGAAAAGUUGAGGAAUUUUCAGCAUUACCUUCACUGCCAAGAAUAAUAAAGCCAAUCAACAUAAGAACAGGAUGAACCUGUAAUGUUUAACAUUAGUAACAUUCUCGAAAUUGCUAAAUGUAAACAAGUUAUUAUCCUAAAAACUGUUACAAACAGCAGGGAGCACAAGUAAUUCUGAAGCUCCAGCUCUCACCGAGGGAGUCUUUGGAAAUCCAUGUCAGGAAUUGGGGGAAACAAAGGACAACGAUUAUUGGUUUAUUAGACAUCUCCAUCUGCAAUUAACUCAGAGACCUGGAUGUUUUUUAACUGAAACGGACAUAUAGUACGGCAGACACUAACACUUACUAGACAUUUUCAGAUGCGUUAGAGAGCAGUUAGCUAAUGACGCUAACAGAAAUGUGCAGUUGAGAUUUGGAGUACAAUUGAUGUGCAUCAGCACACGGACGCAAUGACGUGUGUAUCCAUUUUGUUCAGAUUGACUUAAAAAAUUGCUCAACUAUCGGUGCAUAUAUAACGCAAACAGAAGUUGUUCUUAUCACAAGUUCAUAUGGCUAGAGCCAAGCAUCAUCUAAUCUAAUCUCCAUGGACCAUGGAGCCAAUAACAGAAAAUCACCAAGCCAACGCUCGCAGCAGAAAUUCAAGCAGACGCUUUUCUAAAUCGCACGGACACGACGGUCAAAUCAAAUCUUGGCGCUCACUUCCUCUUCCACGAUGCUAGCGUACCUACCCAUCCCCCACAGCCCCACUCGAUGCGAUUUCGCCUUUUCUUUUCCUCUAGGGAGCAAAACAAAAAGGCGGAAUCUAAAAUUGUCUGCAGCCAGAGAAGAAGGAACAGGUGGUUCUCACGUUGAAGAUGAGGUUCUUGUUGUCGGCUUCGAAGGCGAGGCCGCCGCGGAAGUGGAUGCACCAGUACAGCACCAUGGCGGCGGCCACCACGGCCAGCGCGUGCGCCACGUACGUGAACGGCGCCGCCCUCACGCCCAGCCCCAUCGCCUCCGGCCCUCUGCCCCUCUCCCCUGCUCCUCUCUCGCCGGCGCUGCUGCUGGUUUCUUUCCCCGGCGGACGGAGCGAGUGGAGACAAUGCGGGAGCGUGGCGUCCCCGCGCCUCUUUAUAAUUUAUAAAUGAUAUUUUUUUCUCGUGUAUUGUCUGUUGAUUUCUCUCCAUAAAAAUCGCGAUAAGGGCGACACGCCUGGUAGUUGUCGAUUGNNNNNNNNNNNNNNNNNNNNNNNNNNNNNNNNNNNNNNNNNNNNNNNNNNNNNNNNNNNNNNNNNNNNNNNNNNNNNNNNNNNNNNNNNNNNNNNNNNNNNNNNNNNNNNNNNNNNNNNNNNNNNNNNNNNNNNNNNNNNNNNNNNNNNNNNNNNNNNNNNNNNNNNNNNNNNNNNNNNNNNNNNNNNNNNNNNNNNNNNNNNNNNNNNNNNNNNNNNNNNNNNNNNNNNNNNNNNNNNNNNNNNNNNNNNNNNNNNNNNNNNNNNNNNNNNNNNNNNNNNNNNNNNNNNNNNNNNNNNNNNNNNNNNNNNNNNNNNNNNNNNNNNNNNNNNNNNNNNNNNNNNNNNNNNNNNNNNNNNNNNNNNNNNNNNNNNNNNNNNNNNNNNNNNNNNNNNNNNNNNNNNNNNNNNNNNNNNNNNNNNNNNNNNNNNNNNNNNNNNNNNNNNNNNNNNNNNNNNNNNNNNNNNNNNNNNNNNNNNNNNNNNNNNNNNNNNNNNNNNNNNNNNNNNNNNNNNNNNNNNNNNNNNNNNNNNNNNNNNNNNNNNNNNNNNNNNNNNNNNNNNNNNNNNNNNNNNNNNNNNNNNNNNNNNNNNNNNNNNNNNNNNNNNNNNNNNNNNNNNNNNNNNNNNNNNNNNNNNNNNNNNNNNNNNNNNNNNNNNNNNNNNNNNNNNNNNNNNNNNNNNNNNNNNNNNNNNNNNNNNNNNNNNNNNNNNNNNNNNNNNNNNNNNNNNNNNNNNNNNNNNNNNNNNNNNNNNNNNNNNNNNNNNNNNNNNNNNNNNNNNNNNNNNNNNNNNNNNNNNNNNNNNNNNNNNNNNNNNNNNNNNNNNNNNNNNNNGGGCAAUCGAGAAAGAGGUGUUUGAUGUUUUCAGAAUGAUCACAGAAGCUACAUCGAGACGGACCUACCCAAUUACGUUUUGCAAGGUUAUCCUUAGUCAGAAUGACUUGUUUAUGCACAAACCACAUAAACACUUUAAUACGUAAGGGUACUUUAACUUGCCAAACAUGUAAGGAGGUAGGGAUGACAGUAGAGUUAAUGACAUCCUGAUACAUUGAUUUGACCGAGAACACACCGUUCUUAGUAAGUUUCCAAUGCAACUGAUCAGGGUUAGAAGACAACCGGACAUCCAUUAAACGACGAACCAGAUGGAGCCAGGCCUCCCAACGAUUUCCAACAAGCGUCCGCCUAAAGUUGAUAUUGAGGGGAACGGAUUGUAAAACAGUAGCAACAUAGGCACCUCUACGUUGGACUAUGUUAUACAAAGAAGGAUAUUGAAGUGCUAGUGGGGUCUCCCCAAGCCACGUAUCCUCCCAAAACCUCGUCGUGGUACCAUUCCCAACAAUAAAUUUAGUCUUGUUAAAAAAGAUUUGUUUAACUCUCAUCAAACCCUUCCAAAAGGGCGAGUCGGAAGGUCUCACAGUCACCUGAGCCAAGGUUUUAGCAAAGAGAUAUUUAUUGCGUAAAAUCUGUGCCCAAGUGGCCUCCGUCUCAGAUGACAACUUAAAAAGCCACUUGCUAAGGAGACAUAUAUUUUUGAUUUCCAGAUUUCCAAUACCUAGGCCACCUUGGUCCUUAGGUCUGCAGAUAAUAUCCCACUUCACAAGUCUAUACUUCCGUUUAAGCUCAUCAAUUUGCCAAAAGAAUCGAGAUCGAUAGAAAUCUAACCUUUUCCUAACUCCAACCGGAACCAAGAAAAAGGAUAACAGAAACAUAGGCAUACUAGUAAGGACCGAAUUAAUCAGAAUUAAUCGACCUCCAUAUGACAUGAGCUUUCCUUUCCAACAGCUCAGUUUCUUUUCAAAACGAUCCUCAAUACAUUUCCACUCAAUAUUAGUUAGCUUACAAUGAUGAAUGGGUAUCCCUAAAUACGUAAAUGGUAAAGAACCCAAUUCACAUCCGAACAAUUGUUGAUACGAGUCCCGGUCAUCAUUUGCUCUUCCAAAGCAAAACAAUUCGCUCUUGUGGAAGUUGAUUUUAAGCCCAGACAAUUGUUCAAAUAAGCAAAGCAGCAGCUUCAUGUUCCUUGCUUUCGCUAUAUCAUGUUCCAUAAAUAUGAUAGUAUCAUCAGCAUAUUGAAGAAUGGAUAUCCCGCCGUCUACUAGAUGUGGAACCAGGCCACCUACCUGUCCUGCAUCCUUUGCCCGACCUAUUAAAAUAGUCAGCAUAUCAGCCACUAUGUUAAACAGGAUCGGUGACAUAGGGUCUCCUUGCCGUAGCCCCUUGUGUGUUUGGAAAUAAUGACCCACGUCAUCAUUCACCUUAAUCCCGACACUCUCUUUUUGCGUUAAAGAGUCAAUUUGAUUUCUCCAGGCCGAAUCAAAACCUUUCAUACGCAAAGCUUGUUGAAGGAAAGGCCAUUUGACUUUAUCAUAUGCUUUUUCAAAAUCCACUUUAAAAACUACGCCAUCAAGUUUUUUGGAGUGGAUUUCAUGGAGCGUUUCAUGCAAGACAACAACCCCUUCCAGGAUGUUUCUAUCCGGCAUGAAAGCUGUCUGGGACGGCUGAACUACUGUGUGUGCUAUUUGUGUAAGCCUGUUUGUCCCCACCUUAGUGAAGAUUUUGAAACUCACAUUUAGCAGACAAAUGGGUCGAAACUGCUCAAUCCGAACAGCCUCUGUCUUCUUAGGCAGAAGAGUUAUCGUCCCAAAAUUUAGCUUGAACAAUUGAAGCUGCCCCUCAAAAAACUCGUGAAACAUGGGCAUCAAGUCUCCCUUGAUAAAAUGCCAACACUUCUUGUAAAACUCCGCCGGAAACCCGUUCGGCCCUGGAGCCUUGUUGUUCUCCAUUUGAGUAAUAGCCUCAAACACCUCUUUCUCCGAGAAAGGAGCAGUCAAGAGCUCAUUCUCGACAGUCUCAAGUUGAGGCACAUCCUCAACCCUAGACUCAUCCAACGACACGAAAGUCUCUACCGGGGGACCAAACAACUGUUUAUAAUAAUUGGUAAUAUAAUCUUUGAGAUUAUCCUGACCAACUAUCGUCCCUUCAUCUUGUUCUAAUUGGAAAAUUCUUUUUUUACGAUGCUUCCCAUUCGCAAUCAUGUGAAAGAAUUGAGUGUUAUCCUCGCCUUCUACGAUUUUGCGAACCUUGGCUCGCAAAGCCCACUUCAAUUCCUCCUCACGGAGAAGCUUUUUAAGCUGCAUCUCUGCAUCUAUCUUUGUUUCCAACUCAUUGGAAUCCAAGAUAGAGGUUUCUGCUUUAGCUUCGAAGUUUUGAAUGAUUAGAAGAAGUCUGUCCUUCUCCACCUUAUAAAUCCCAUGCGUGUGCUUAGCCCAGCCACGAAGGAAUCGACGGAGAUGACGAAUCUUGGAUUGCCAUCUGUCGAUAGGCAUCCUACCUCCCGAGUCCAUAGCCCACUCUCUAGCUAGCAACUCGAGGAACCCUUCUCUUUCAAACCAGGCAAGUUCAAACGAGAAAAUGUUCUUGUUUCCCACGAAAUUUUGAACUCCGGAGUCGACUAGUAGCGGUGUAUGAUCCGAGACACCUCGAGUCAAAGCCUGCACCGUUACCAGGGGAAACUUCUGUUCCCACUCGACACUAGCUAGCACACGGUCAAGUUUCUCAAAAGUCGGGACCGGUAACGAAUUAGCCCAAGUGAAUUUCCUACCCGAGAGCUCGAUCUCUCUGAGAUCCAAACUCUCAAUGAUGGUGUUGAACAUAAAGGGCCAUCGACCGUCAAAAUUGGCAUUAUUCUUGUCCUCUUUUCUUCGGAUAAUGUUGAAAUCCCCUCCCACUAAGAGAGGUAACUGUUCAUUACCACAGAUGCGCACCAAAUCUGCCAAGAAAUCUGGUUUGAGUUCUGGUUGUGCAGCUCCGUAAACUGCCACCAAAGCCCAAUCAAACCCAUCUGCCUUAGAUCUAACCCGAAACUUGACAGCGAACUCGCCCAUAACUACGCUCCGAACCUCCAACGUUUCACACUUAACCCCAAGUAAAACCCCGCCGGAUCUUCCCCGAGGUGGGAGGCAAUGCCAAUCAAAAUCUACCCCCCCCCAGACAAAGUGGCAAGAAAUUGAUUAGUGAAAUUGCUUCUUCCAGUCUCGGACAAAGCAAUAAAAUCUAAAUGAUGUUCAAGAGAAGCAUCCGCUAGAAACCUCCUUUUAGCCAAGUCUCUAAGACCUCUGCUAUUCCAGAAAAUGCCUCUCAUAAGUCAUCAUGAAAUUUUUUGGCAGUACGGAUCCUAGCACUCCUACGCACUGCGGAAACUGGAUAAACCUUUCUUUUCCAUGUCCGCUUAGGCUUCACUUGACCAUCAACCUAAACAUAGCCCUCAUUCUCAACUUCUAGCACUAAAGGCUCAUCUACAUGAAGAGACGUCUCAGGCUGUGAGUCUUCCUCUGCCUCGAGACAUGCAGGGUCAAGAUCGGCACACAUACCAUCGAGAACCCUAACCCCAAGCGCAACAAUCUCCGAAUCAUUCAUUGGUUUAACUGCAGCUAUGUGACGAAUCAUAUCUACCGCACGCUCAGCUUCCAAAUCAAGAAUGUCGUUAACUGAUUUAGCAAUUUGAAGAUCAUUAUUACCAAGUGAAAUUCCUAGUUGAUUUGCAUUAUGGAUGAUUUCAUUAUCAGUGAAAUGCAAAAUGGAAUUUGACUUAAUAACAGACAUACCGGUGGUGGUCUCGACGUCCUGCAACUUGGCAGCCCUCAAAGCACACCGCAGUUGAAUGUCAUCGACGUCCGGCUGCUCCUGCAACCUCCCGCUGAUCCGCCUUCCCUGGGUGACAGGAUCCGGGAUACCACCAAAGGCGAUGACCUCCUCGCAGGAAGCCCUGCAAGGGGAGAGACCUCCUGCCCCUCCCCCCACAGCGACGCCCCGGGUCGCCGUCACCAGCGCAGGAGAAGAAGUCGGCGGCGCCGCCUGCAGCCCGUCAACAGGCGACCCACCAGCAGCUGGCUCUGGAGCAGCCCACACGCCGUGCACCGAGGAGGAGGCAGUAGCUGCAGUGGCUCUACCCAGCCCACCUAACACAGUGGGGGCCGGUGAGCCGACUACCCCCUGCCCUGGCGCACUAACGGCGGCGUGAAAAGGUGAGGACUCCUCCCUAGCCAGGGAGGCCGGACUGGCCUGUGAAGACACCGGUCUUUGACCAACAGCCGACCCUCCCAGAAGAUCAGUAGCCGCCUCUGAUGCCGGCAAGGAAGGAGAGCGCGGUGCGUGGGCCUCCUGCCCGCUAGACCCGUCCGAGGCCCGCCGAGCCUCCGAAGUGGUCGUUACUACUGCGCUGACCCUGAGUCCCGACGAUCCGCGCACCGGCAAAGCAGAGAAGGACCUGACCGUACUCCCGGCCAGCUCCGCCGAGUCGUCCAAAAGAGUCGUCAUGUCCAGCCGCGGUACCGGCGAUGAAGGAGGAGAAACAACCUCCUGUGCAGAAAGUCUGUCCGUUUCCUCAGCCCUCAAGACCUCCGAAAUCACCGGUGGCACAUGCUCAGACGGAUCAUCCAGCUCCACACGAUCACUCCAAAGACGAGGAGGCGCAGAGAAAGCCCCUACGGAGCCUAGCUGAAGCAUGUUGGACGGUGCCGAAACCGGUGUUUUCCCCUGAGCAGACUCUGCUGGCUUAGACGAAUCCACAGGCCUGGAACCCCUGUCACCAUCACCGGGUGCGUCAUCUCCACGGUUCCCAGGAGCACCUCCCCCCUCAGAGGUAUCCAUAGGUAGCAGCUCCUCAAAAUCCUGAAACAAGUCCGGAUCCUCAUACUCGACAUUCAACAUGUAAGCAAUACCCUCAUAACACCAUCUGACCACAUCCGGCAAGAACUGAAUGUUAGCCACGCUUAUCAACAAACGAGCUACACCGUGAGCACGAGUGAAAGGCAUAUCCACCUGCUCCGUCUUACCGAGCAAGGACCCCAAGCUCCACGUGACAAAGAAAUCAUCCAAGGGCUCGGAAGGUGCCCCCGAAAAUCGAACCCAGAUCUGAGUCAGUGGUGUGCCCUGCGGUUCCUUCUUUUUCCACUCAUCAAACUGCAACACAAAGCUAGUUCCAGUAACUCGACUCAUGCCAAACUUGAGAAUCCUCUUCUGAUCCUCUUUAGAAGGGAAAUCCACUUUGUAAGACUUAUCAGAAAGUUUCAACAAGGACCAUUUGAAAUUCCCCGGAGCCAAUUCCCGCAACUGCUGAAUUAUCUGGGCUUCAGUGAGCGGUCCGGUGACCACCUUAACCACCCCAGGGAAUGAGGUUUCAACGACAGGAGCCACCGAAGCCACACUUGGUGACUCAAAGAACAUCAACUCAGAGCAACAGAGCCCGUAGAUAUUAAGUGUCGGUUUGGGUCCGAGAAGAAGCGGACACUCAGCCGCUACAUGCUUAGGUUUCCGACAAAUAUCACAUAGCUUAGCAGAGCAGUCAACCAUGAAGUGACCCGUCUCCCCGCACCGGAAACAGACUAAUUUUUUCUUCUUAGCCGCCCACUUGGACAACUAGUCACCUCCGGCCUUCUCCGAACCUUUAUCAGACUCCGCAUCAUCCGAUUGUGCUAUCAUCGGUACAGACACAUCAGCGAGAGCCUUAACCGUCUCCACCACUGCCUGGGUUAGACCCGCCUCAUCAGUGGCCAUCUCAGCAGUUUCCGAGGCUGCGGCACCGGGCAAGUUACGUGGAGGGCGCCUAUAUCCACCGCGCCCACCACAGAAGCGGCCACGGAAGCGGCUCGGGCCAACCGCACCCUCAACAAAGUUCCCCGGUGGUCCUUGAAAGCCCCGGCCAGCAUUACCAUGAUCCGUCCAAGCGUAGCCUCGCCCACCACUGGUGGACGACGAACCUCGGUGAAGACCCUGACCGUAGGCGUCGUAUCCAUCAUCUCCCCACUGACCACGGGGAGGAUUGCGGCUGUCCCCCGCGAGCACACCCGAUCCACGGCCGGCUACACCAUUGGCAGCACCUCCCCGGCCGGCUACACCAUUGGCAGCCCCUCCCCGGCCGGCAGCCAUUUGCCUAGGCCAAGGUCGUUGCGGCGGCGGCUGUGUGGCCCCAUGCUGUGGCGGCGCCGCAGCCCUGGCUACAGCCGGCGCAGCCGGCGCCGGUGUCGAANNNNNNNNNNNNNNNNNNNNNNNNNNNNNNNNNNNNNNNNNNNNNNNNNNNNNNNNNNNNNNNNNNNNNNNNNNNNNNNNNNNNNNNNNNNNNNNNNNNNNNNNNNNNNNNNNNNNNNNNNNNNNNNNNNNNNNNNNNNNNNNNNNNNNNNNNNNNNNNNNNNNNNNNNNNNNNNNNNNNNNNNNNNNNNNNNNNNNNNNNNNNNNNNNNNNNNNNNNNNNNNNNNNNNNNNNNNNNNNNNNNNNNNNNNNNNNNNNNNNNNNNNNNNNNNNNNNNNNNNNNNNNNNNNNNNNNNNNNNNNNNNNNNNNNNNNNNNNNNNNNNNNNNNNNNNNNNNNNNNNNNNNNNNNNNNNNNNNNNNNNNNNNNNNNNNNNNNNNNNNNNNNNNNNNNNNNNNNNNNNNNNNNNNNNNNNNNNNNNNNNNNNNNNNNNNNNNNNNNNNNNNNNNNNNNNNNNNNNNNNNNNNNNNNNNNCCUUGGCCGGCGGCGGGGCCUUGGGCGGCAUGACAUCGACAGCAACCGCAGGAUCUCGCUUCAGCCGACGCACCACAGCCGGCGGAAAUCCAACGUGCCCGCAGCGGCGAACCCUAGUGCAUACGUAUUGGUAGAUGGACGAUGAUCGUGCAUGAGAUGGCAGUCGAUCCGAUGCGAUCUCCUGUACGUCGAGGUCGGCCGGUUUUUCCUGGGUCUGUAACCCAGCUAGUCCCGGCCCAACCUUAGUAAAAAACCUUUGGCCCAAAGGCGCAACAUCGGAUGGGCCGUUCGAACCUUCUUCCGGUUGAAGCCCAUCAGCGUUAAGCAAAAAAUUCAAACGCGAGAUCCGAUCGGCACGGAUGUCGCUGGUUCUGUCGAUCGCCGGCGCCGGCGCCUGUGCCGCCAAUGAUCGCCGAGACUUCUUCCUCUUCACCACUAUCCACGACCCCUCAGUAAUGAAAUCGGACAAAGUUGGUUUAGGGAGACUUACCUUUGGGAGCGGCCCCUUCCAUGGCCGGAUCGCCGCUGCCGCCGUUCGCCUAUGAACCAUCCGACGCACGAUCUCGAUCUUGUCCUCUGGUCCCAAACCUUGCCGUGCAGGAUCAUCAACUGGCACACUGCCAUCGACUAUGUCAGCCACAUCGUCUUCCGAGUAGCCAAGGUCGAAAGCCUCGCAUAUCACCGACGACGGCGUCGGCGAGUAGGCUACCGGUGAACCUCCGGCGCUGUCCCCGUCAUCUUCGCCCUCUGGUUCAGACUCCGCGAGAGCCCAAAACCUACCACCGACGCAUCCCACACCGGAGAUGGUCGCCGGCGGCAGCCCCGUAGUGGCCGCCACGGGCGUCUCCCGUGUCGCCCGCGUCGCCCUACUUCCCACCGACGGCCCAUCCGAAGGUUUAGGCAUGGGGCUAGAACCCAAGUCAAUCGAAGGUAACGGCCGGACCGACGUUACCGGCACGUCCACCUCGUCUUCCUCCUCGUCAGCAAGAAUCCAAGAGCGACCCCCAAACCUUUGCGUCGGCUUUGAUCCAUCGGAUUCCUCCGUGAGAUCAACAGUGGCAAUUUGUUCUUCACCCUCCGGGGGUACCUGCACCCACUCAAUAACCUCGAUGUGAAACAAAUCAAUAACGAAACACAUACCAAUAUGAAGAUCUUCUUCCGCGGAUAGAUGCCUUCCGGCCAAAAUAUCUCCUUCAUCAUCACGGAUCGUCGUCCAACGAGACGGGUGUGAGUAGAUCAUGCCACUGAUCCAUCGCCCCAUCGCAUGCUUAUCCCGAAAACGAGCCUUCCAUUUCGUAGGAUUUUUGAAUCCCCGAUCCCGAUCCUCAUCCUCCGUCGAAGAAGAAACCGGGGAAGGGGAUGGAUCAACUCGCGGAUUUGAAUCCACCGCGGGCGGUUGCCGGAUCCCAUCCGAAGGGCUUGGAGAUCCCGGUAACAGCCGCAGCGGCGGCGGCGGCGGAAUCGCCGAGUCCCCGGCUGGGAUCGCCUGGCAGAUCAGCGUCAGAGAUGAUCCUCCUCCGGCAUCAGCCAGGCCCGACUCCUGAGCCGGCGCGAAGGGCGGCGGAGACUCAGGCAAGAUCGGCGUCGGCGGUGGCACUCGCCCGUCGCCACCCCAGUCGACCAUCAACGUUCGGCCCUUGUUAGUUUCUUGGGGGCUUUAUGAUGAAGAAGAGGCCCACGUCGCACAUCAACGUCAGACAUUCAAUGGCUACACGUGCAAAAUUACCAAAGACAUUGAUAACUUCACAAAUUUCUGUAUUGUUCUGGACAAACUGUAGCCUUCAUCAAUAACAAGUACUCCUUUCGUAAACUAAUAUAGGAACAUUUAGAUCACUACUUUAAUGAUCUAAACGCUCUUAUAUUAAUUUACAGAUAAGGUACUAAAUACAUUUCGUAGCUGCUUUGGCGGUGACACAUGGGACCUAUAUUAUAGUUAAACAUAAAUUGACUCCUUCAAUGCCUGCGUUGGAACGCUUGGUUUCCGACAAGGCCACGUUGUUUUCAUCUAGUAAACAUGGUAGUUAAAACAUGUAGGACCUACCACUUUUUACAUGCGCAAUACAAACAUGCACGGAAUGGCAAAAGUACAAACAUACACAUAGGACCUACCACUUUUUACAUGCGCAAUACAAACAAUGAAUGCUCAUUAAUAAUGCAUGUGUGAUUCCCUAGGGCUAACCAAAAAGUACCAUGCACAAGGAUUCGAGAGGAUUAGAAGGGAAAAAAAUUAUCGGGACUGGAUGGCAAAAGGGGGUAUGAGAACCGAAUGAAGCCUAAAAAUGACGAUGGCGGAGUUAUGUCGAAGUCGGGGAGGGGGGAGGUCUUGCUUGGAGGGUUUUGUUAUUUGGGGUAAUUUUUGCUAGCUGCGCCACAAGCGUACGUAAUAAAAUAAUUUUUUUUAUAUUUCUUUAUAGAGGGAGUAGAUAUUAAAUUAAGUUUGCAAAAGCUGGAUGUUAAAGUAGCUAUAUGUGAAUUAAAAUUAUAAUUUUUGUCUAUUAAAAGCAUAGAAGGUGGCGUAUGUGUGUGUGCGCGCGCAGUGGUCGGAGAUGGACAGUCGUGCUCUAUGCUGCACUGUUCUGACUACAGGUGAUGUGUGGCCUGCCGUUUAGGUCACUUGAAGUCAGCUUAGUCUGAGGACACUUUAAUUAAGGUCCAGCUUAUUAAUUAACAUAACAGGGCAUUUGGUCUAGUGGUAUGAUUCUCGCUUUGGGUGCGAGAGGUCCCGAGUUCGAUUCUCGGAAUGCCCCUUUUUUUCUUCCUUUUGUCAAUUUUAUUUUGCUUGCAUAGGUCUUCUUUUUGCGGGAGUUCUGGAUAGGUCUCUUUUUUUUGCGGGGAAAAGGGAGAUUUCUAUUACUCAAGAAGGCAAAUCAGUCAUAACCAAGUUUACAAUGUCACGUAUACUCGAGCCCAGCCACACGCCACAUCCUCACGUGGCUAACUUUAUUUUGCGAGCGACUAAUAAAAGUAAUAGAGAUCUCCCUAGCUUCAGCAUCCUUCAUCCUCUUGAUCUCUUCAACUGGCACGCGGUGCCUCGAGCGGUCCCUUCUCGAAGCGUUCAACAUAUUCACAGCUUUCACACUAUCCAUCUUAAUGAUAAUGGGCAAGUCAGACCGGUGUAGGGCCAAUUCGAGCCCCUCCCUACAUGCAGCCAACUCGUCUUCCAGGGCAUUAUCACAUGUGCGAUUUUCCCUACAAGCAGUGAAAAUUAUGCCUCCCCGGUCUGACCGCAGGACCAUGCCUCCUCCAGUUGCUCCUGUUGCUGGUACAUAGCUACCAUCAACAUUCAAUUUUGUCCAGCUGGCUGGAGGUAACACCCACCACACUUCGGCCUUCUGUUGUCCAUGUUGUGGUGGCGCCAAAGCAUCAACCUGAACCACCAUCUCCCCUUUCUCCAUGUUACUUUGGGGCCAGUGGUGGAUGCAUAACAAGGAAUUGAUGUAGCCUUGUAAAAAUCUAAGUGAUGCUUCCGUUGUGGGUGGGGACUUGCCAUGAGUUAUUUCAUUCCGCACAUACCACACACGCCACAUUGUCAUGAGGACAAUCAUACGUGUAGUAUCAGAUAGCGGUUCCAAAAGUGAGAACAACCAUUCUGGGCCGGUGUGCAUGACGUCCUCCACCUUGGGUAUGGGCCAGUCACGUGCCAUAGCACGCCACAACUCUUUCACUAGGGGGCACCUGCACAUAGCGUGGAAACCAUCCUCUCGUUCCACACCACAAAGGGGACGCACAUCAAAGAGUUCGAGGUGUCGAGAGAAUUUAUUUGCCCAAGUAGCGAGCGAGUUGGAAACCAGCCUCCAUGCAAAGACUCGUACCAUUGGGGGAGCAGGGCACCCCCAUAUGAUCUUCUAGAUGGCGCGAUGACCAUCCGGUGCCCUGCUCGUUGCGGUCGCCAAUGGACGCCUGCGCUCGUCCAUGACAAGGCGAUAUGCGGAGCGAACGGUGAAGAUGCCGUUCUUCUCUGAGGCCCAUGCGAUAACGUCGUCGGUGAUGUGGGGUGGCGUGCGAAUGCUGGUGAUGGUCGCGACAUCCGCCGGGAGAAAAUACUGUCGCAGCACAUUCGUACGCCAGGCGCCGGACUCGUCCAGAAGCUCUGAGACCCGCCGAAGAUGGCAAGUCCCUUGCCGCGUGAUCGGCUGCCCCGUCGGUUCCGUUGGGAGCCAACGGUCACGCCAUAUGCGUAUAUUCCGGCCAUCACCGACGCGCCAUACAAUCCCCUUCUUGAGGAGCUCGAGGCCGUACUGAAUGGUCUGCCACGUGGGAGAGGCGUUCCCCGAGAAGACAGUGUCCUCAAGUCGACCGUCUGGAUAAUAUCUGGUUUUAAGGACCUGCGCACAUAAACUAUUAGGGUUAGAAAGAAGUCGCCACGCCUGUCGCGCCAAUAAGGCUUGGUUAAAGAGACGGAAGUCUUUAAACCCCAAGCCGCCCUUCAUUUUAUGUGCAAGAAUAUUUGGCCAAGCUGUCCAAUGUGUUUUCCUUUUUUCCUCAGACGAACCCUACCAGAAAUUCCGCACCAUCCUGUUGAGGUCAUUGCACACUGACAUUGGGAGUUUAAAAACCUCCAUAAUAUAUGUUGGGAUCGCCUGUGCAACAGCCUUGAUCAUAAUCUCCUUACCAGCCAGUGACAACGUAUCUCCCCAUGCAAUGAUCCGCUUGAAAAGCCUCGGCUGCAAAUUCUGAAAUUUCCCCCGAGACAUACGCCCGUCAGGGGUAGGCAGGCCCAAAUACUUUUCCUCAAAAGUGGUUAGGCUGACAUGGAGCAUCGCACGAACCUUCUCUUGAUUGUUCUCGGUACAAGAUUUACCAAACAGUACGCUGCAUUUGGCCGGAUUAAUACACUGCCCUGUUGCUUUCUCAUACGUGUUGAGUAGCUCAUGGACCUUCAUUGCUUGUUCCUCCUCUGCUUUGAAAAAUAAAAGCGUGUCGUCUGUAAACAACAAGUGGGAGACACCAGGAGCCCGUCUGCACACCUUUAGCAGGGUAAAGUCGCCCCUAUCUUCUCCAUCCUUCAACAAAGCCGAGAGCCCGUCAGCCACAAAAAGGAACAAAAACGGGGAGAGAGGGUCACCUUGCCAAAGCCCACGCGUCGGUGCAAACGAAUCCAAGAGGGUCCCAUUAAAUUUAAUUGUAUAUCUCACCGAGGUGACACAAGUCAUAAUCCAGUCCACUCACCGGCGAGCAAAACCCAUCUUUUGCAUCGUUCGCUUCAAGAAGGUCCAAUCUACCCCGGCAUAAGCUUUGGACAGAUCCAUUUUUAAGCGCAGAAACUUUUUUCCGGGUCUUUCUCUUGCUGAAUAUGAUGUAUACACUCAAAAGCAACUAGAGCAUUAUUAGUGAUCAGUCGUCCAGGGACAAAAGCACUCUGAGCAGGUGAAAUAAUGUCAUCCAAAAAAGGCCUCAACCGAUUAACCAAGCAUUUAACAACUACCUUGUAAACGACAUUGCACAAACUGAUAGGUCUGAACUCGGUGAGUUUUUCUGGGUUAUUUACCUUAGGGAUGAGAACAAUGGAGGUGUUGUUCACCCCAUCCGGCAUUACGCCCGUCCUGAAGAAUUCUUUCACACCGCUGAUUACGUUCUCUCUCAUGACCGCCCAAUUCCUCUGGAAGAAGCGGGCAGGAAACCCAUCUGGCCCGGGGGCUUUAAGCGGCCCUAUCUGGAACAAUGCAUCUGCAAUCUUCUUGUCCGAGAACUCUGCACAUAGCUGGACAUUCAUGUCAUUAGCAACUCAUGUAUUAAUCAAAUCAAUAACCGGAUCAGCACAUAAUGACGUAUCUGCGGCGAACAGUGAGGCGAAAUAAGAAGUCGCCAUAGCAGUCAUGGACACAUGGUCUUUGUGGGUAACUCUGGCGUCAUCCACAAGGGCCUUGAUGCGAUUUUUCCGUGCCCUCCAAACCGCUUUCCGGUGAAAGAACUGUGUGUUUCAGUCUCCCUCACGCAGCCAAGCAAUGCGAGAUCUCUGCAUCCACAACAUUUCUUCAUGGUACAGUAGUUCAUUCAAACGAUCAUUGACCUCCCUUAUCUCUUUGCGGUAUGUAUUCAUAGACAUGAGCUCCUCAAGGCGAGAACGAGAUUUAUUAAUUUCUUUCAUCACAUUACCAAAUUUCUUGCGGCUCCAGUCUCGGUUCUGGAACCGUGACUAAAGUAUCGUUACUAAAGCCUCCCCCUUUAGUCCCGGUUCUUACACAAACCGGGACUAAAGGUCGUUCACGUGGCCGCUGUCUGUAACACCAACCGGGACUAAAGGUAAUUUUAUGAAAAAAAUGAUUUUUUUAACUUUUUAUUUUUUUAUUUUCAAAUUUUUGAAUUAUUUUUCAAUUUAAUUUCUAAUCACCCAUCAUCACUGCUCUAUUUAACCUCUAAUCUCUAAUCACCCAUCAUCAUUCCAAAUCAUCUAAUUUCCCGGCCGGUCACCCAUCCUCUCACUACUCCAGUCUGAGCACGCUAAACUUUCAGGUUCUAUUCCCCCUCGUUUCCAAGUUUGCACUUGUUGUUUUCCUGACAAUAGUAAGAUGUCAAUCCUAUUAACCCUCAUGAGUUUAGCUAUCGCAUAAAGUCACACGUUUCACUGUUUGAGUUUGAAACUAUUAUUCUAAAAAACAAUAAUUAUUUAGUAACACUAAUAUUUCUUAAAUAAGUAGUUUGACCACACUUUGACCAGAUUUGACCAAAACUCAAAAAAUUGAAAUAAUUAUUUAGUAACACUAAUAUUCUUGAAUAAUUAUGUAGUAACACUAAUAUUUCUUGAAUAAGUAGUUUGACCACAGUUUGAUCAGAUUUGACCAAAAUUCAAAAAAACUGUAGUAAUUAUUUAGUAACACUAAUAUUCUUGAAUAAUUAUUUUAGUAACACUAAUACUUCUUGAAUAAGUAGUUUGACCAUAGUUUGACCAGAUUUAACCAAAAUUCAAAAAAAAACUGAAAUUUGAGCAUAACUUUUUUUUCUUUUAGAAUUUGAGGAUUCUAAAAGAUUUCAAACAGGCCAUAGGCUGUCAAAAUCGGAUGUGGAUUUUCAUGCUGAACAUUUUGAUAUAUUAUACGUUUUUUUCCGACAUCGUAUGCAAAAGUUAUAGCCGUUUUACUUUUUCAUGACACUUUUUUGCAAAACAUGUCAAAAUUUAAGUUUUUUAAUUUUCCUAACUAGUAGAUGUAGUAAUAUAACUACAUCUCGAAGAAACAUGUCUCAAAUCAGGACUAAAGGUCUAAUCUCGAACCGGGACUAAAGGCCAUCGCACCCUUUAGAACCGGGACUAAUGGGCUUAUCUGACCCGAACGAAAGCCCUGUUUUCUACUAGUGGAGUCUCCUACUGAGUAAUAUUAAAUCCUUGAUAAGAACCCCAUAUAUAGAUCAAAACCAUGUGGUCAUCUGUUCAAAGUUGUGAUCAGAAACGUGCUUCCAAAACAAAUAUAUAUUCCUAAUAACAUGUCAAUAAUUUGCCACCAAGUAUUUUGUGAUUUGUAGCUGUACUACACAUGUGUGGUAUCCUCGAAGACAAUGCGAAGGUGCAAUCCAUUGUUCUGCCUUGCAUCUUAAGCAGAACCCCAUAUAGUAGAUCAAAACCACGUGGUCAUCUGUUACUUGUGAUCAGAAACGUGCAUUCCAAAGUCCAAAACAAUAUAGAUUCCUAAUAACAUGUCACUAAUUUGCCACUAAAUAUUUUGUGAUUGUAGCUAUCUUACAUAUGUUUGCUAUCCUCCAAGACAGUCCGAAGGUGUAUGCACACAAAAGAUUCGGAGUUCUAUGAGAAUAAUAAGGAAAAGGAAGUGAAGGAUACUAGUAAUGAAUAGUAGCCUACAGAGUUGUGCCACUGCGUGCGGCUUGUGAACAUAUAUAUAGCUGGGCCGAUAUCACUACCAAACGCUAGAAUACCAUCUGGCCUUAGCGUUGGUUCAUCUCGGAGCUCUGAUCCGUGUCACCCGACUGCGACACCGGCUGACUGGUGCUCCCAUUUCCACCCCCCGCCGGCGCAUCAUUCAAAGCGGCCUGCGUCGGGAACCGUGCUGGAUGCAACGGUGGCGGGCGCCCCAGGAACGGGCGGGGCCGCUUGGCGAUGGCCCGGCCUUGGAACGGGCGGGGAGCGAACGGGCGCCCCAGGUCGCGCGAAGCCGGCGGGAGAAACCCGAAGCGUUGCCUCGCGAGCGGGCGCUCCUGGAACGGCCGCGGCCGGGGCAAUGCCAACGGUCCUUGUUGGAAGGUGAGCGGCGCCGGCGGCGGGCGGUGCUGGUGGUGCUGGAGCGCAUGUGGUGGCAGAUCGCCUAUGGCCACCAGGUACUCCGCGGCGAGGCGGCCGGCCUCCAUGAGCACCGCCUCCCUCCUUUGCGGCGUCAUCUGCUCCUGCUGCUGUGGCGGCGGCUGGCGGUAGGCCAUGUUGCUCCCGUCGCGGAAGCAGGCGCCGCCGUGGACGUAGUACGCGCCGGAUGGGGCCGUGCUGGGACGGGGCGCGUAGCCUCCUCCGGGCUGCAUCGGUCUUGGUCGCCGUGUGCAAAGCUCGCGCUGUUUGAAGCAGCGCAGAGAACGAUAAAGCUCGACACGAUCCAACUCGACGCGAGGUCAGCGUUGCCACGAGGGCCGGUUCCUGAUUUUAAAGGCUGUCGGACUCCGAGCCGGUGGCGGGUUCGAGGCCUUGAAUCUUACGCAACGGCUAGCAAGUCGGACGCGAGUCACAACAAUUUCAAAUCGAUCCUGUAGCUGGACAAGGUAGAGCAACAUAUCUGCAGAGGCUGGCCGGCAUAUCCAGUCAGCGAACAGUACGUAAUGCGAACAUGGUGGCUUUGCUUUCUUGACACAAAUAGCUAGGGUGAGCGAGCUUGAGAAAGGGAGACAUCUUUCAGUAUAAUCGCUCAAGUGUAAAUAUCAGAUCAAACGUAAGCAAACACCAGAGAGAUGAACCUUGCAGUUUGAACAAUGAACAAGACAAACAUUCCCUGUCCCCUCUAUCAAAUGAUGGACAAGUGACACCGUAUUCAAUCGGAGGGAGUAUUACUUUGUGCACAUUCUACCUCCAACAAAGUUCAUACAUACAUACUAAAUUGUGUUGUUAACACAUAUUUCCAUGGGAUAUAUUUUAUCAAUUAUUAAAACAUCACCACUAAUUUACAUCAAGGACCGAGGACCUCUAACCUACAUACCUUCUUCUUCCCGGUAUCUUUUCCGGAAGCCACACCCAAUGCCAGGGCUAUUUUGAUUUCUCCAGAUCAGCUUGCUCUGUUUUUCCUUCCCGUGUGUUGCAAAUAAAAGUUUCUGCACAAAAUCAUCCAGAUUAACUUUAUUAUGCGUAAACACUAGCAGCAGUUUUAUGGCAUCAGAGUCUGUUAGCAUAUAUACCUGUCUCGCUCUCUUGUCGACGGGAGUCCAUGUUGGAUCAAUGGACGGCUCCCUCCUGUUUUCAUGACUUGCACUUGGUUGCAUCUUGAAAUCUUUCCUUGCCCUAUGGGUAUGCGCUUUAGGUCCUUCUCUGGCUUUCCCAUAACGUUGAAUCCCAACAGAUGGGCUCCGAUCCCUCAAAGGAGUUUCUCUAUCCCCUCGGUAUCUGAAGGAAUCAAUAGGUGGAGGACUUAGAAUCUUGGAAGCACCAUCCCUCAUCCUCGAGCUUGACAUCAUUGCUGGUGUAUUGCAUCUUGAUCUCUCCUGACAUGCUCUUCUUUUCUCGUUCAUUUGCCUUAGAUAAUCCAUUUCCCAGCCUGAGCCGUGUGAAGUUGCAUGAGAGCCAGAAUCCUGUUUCAGAAAAGCAAGCGAACUUCCUGGACUCUGAAUUAUUUCCUCUCUUGGUUCACGAUAUCUGCUGCCCAUUUCAUUUCUGCAAGCAGUUGAAUUAUCCCCACCCUUCCACGUGCGAUGCGUACCUCCUGGAAUGUCCCAGUCACCAGUAUCAUCAUUGAUCUCCAAUGCAGCUGGAAAUACUGGAUGACUGUAAGUUCUAUUGAAUGAUGGUUUGCUUGGGGGAAAAGAGUUUUUGAUUCGUUCUCUACCCACUGAUUCAGGUUGCCAAGAGAUGUCAUAUGUGUCGACCAUACCGCUAGCCCUUCGGUCAUAAUGCCUCAUAUCUGUAGUCAAACCAUUGCUGAAAUGAUCACUCAUGAUCUGAUUGCCAAUUAUUGCAUCAGUAUCGUGCUCUCUUGGUACACAAGAGACCCCUUCACCUCCCCUACUCAAACUUUGAUCAAACAUAAAGACCUCUGGGAACUGAGGCAUUGCAUCCUCCACAUCAGAGCACCUCCUGAACUUGGGCUGUGAGAAUACAUUAUGUUCCACAUAGUUACCAGGCAAUCGGUUUAGAGGAUCGGGAUGGAGGCGAUCACUAGUUGGUACUGCAAAAGCUUGUGAGGCACACUUUUUCCUUUUCCUUGGAGACUGCAACAAUGCACUACAGAUGUCUGAAUCUACAGAAGAGCAAUCGGUCAUUACAGACUUAGAUUCACCUAGCUCACCAAAUUUGCACAAAGCAUUGAACAGAGAAAUGCUCUGCGGAGACAACAGGUACUUUUCAAUAGCCUGAAUGCGGCGCUCAUGUGACCAAUUGAGGAACUCCACAAGGCUGCCUCCACAAGAAAGAAUAAUGUAUGCAGACAAGGGAUUGACUGAAGGGAAUUUUGUGAGAAAUGAUUCAGCCAAGCUUUCUGAUUCAGGUAUAUCUGGAGAAGGAGCUUUAUUCAACCUAUUCACAUUCCUAAUGCAACUGAGAAUUAUCUCAUCUGCCGACUUGGGGGUGCGUGAGAAGAAUAGCUGCAGGUUCAUGCCCAGACUAGCAGCUGCAGCAUAUAGAGAAUCAGAUGACUCCAUUACAGAAGAAAGGGAGUGAGCUUCACCUUCAAAGACCUACAAAAGUAGAAACAGUGAAACGGUUCAGUUACUGCAGAUAUAACUCAAAGACAGGAAUACCAUGAUGACUCUAUCAGGAAAAAGCAAAAAUCUCAGGAGUUCAAAACCAAUUACCAUUAUGCAACCACAGAAACAGAAACUAAUUGACAUCAGAAUGUUGGUUGCGAUGGUCUCUAUAAAAUUUGUUAUACUAGAUGCUUCUGUUGACGCUGUGAAUUCAUUGCUCUCAAAGAUUUUGGUCUCAAACCAUACUAAGCAAACUGAAGCACUGAGUAUUAGGUCCACCAGAAGAUCAACAUCUCGUUCCACAACCUGCAUUCCUCCUUUCUCCAAAGAUAGUAUCUGCUGAUAAGACGAUCUCCGAGAGAAAAUCAUAUUCUUUCCGUGACUUCCAGUAUUUACAACAAUCACCGGGUUAGAUAAUCUUCCAGGAAUGAUGCUGCCAACUUUUACACUCAAAGGCAAGUCAGUAGCAGAUAGAUUGUCUUGUGGGGCUUUUAUCACAUUUGCAGAUACAGAAGUCGAGCUGCUCUUCUCAAGUGCAGACACAAAAUGUCGUGAAUGGAGAACAGUUCUUUUGCUCAACAUUUCCUCUAUGUGCCGCUCUUCAGCUGCAGGAACAAAAUUAUGUGCAUCAACAAUAUUCUUUUUUUCCAAAUUUUCUAGUCUGAGCAGUUGAUCAUCUGCAGGUAUUUUUUUUGUUGAAUCAGCAGUGAGAUGUUUGCACAGAUUUUCCUGCCGUUCUUGCAGUUGAGUAGUUGCUGGCACAAAGUUCAAUGAAUCAACAAUACGCAUCUUGCUCAUCUUCUCUUGCAAAUCCUUCUUAAGUGCAUGCAGAACCGUAUCCUGCAAAUAAUCAGCACGGAUUCUUAUUUCUUCGUAGGCAUUUAUGUUUUGCCCCAUCAACCAUUGGUAGCACCCUAAUGAGGGUCUCAGAAACAAAAUCUGAAGAAUUCAAAUGAAAUGUACACCACCCACAAGAUCCGGCAUGUAAAACCAAUGCUCAACAAAAGUAUGCAGCCAUUGAUGAACUUGGGUUCAGAAACCUAUAAUUAUUUGCAUAUCACCGGUUGCUUAUUUCUGCAAAUUUUAGUGAGAUGUGUAUGAAGUUCAAAAAUAAUACUCCCUCCGUCCAAAAUACUUGUCGUGGUUAGAGUUCAAAUUUGAACUAAAUCCACGACAAGUAUUUUGGAACGGAGGGAGUAAUAGUUUGCAUUAUUGCUCUAAUCAUCUACCUUCCAUUUUGCAGGUGGCCUUUCAUAUUUAACAUGUGCAUGGUAAAACAGUAGUGAGUUUCCAAACAGCUUGACCAACAUAUGGUAAAACCAAAACAUCAAUAAGUUCCUAAUAUCAUGACCAACAUAAGAAGAUCAAACUAAUGCAAGUGUGAAGAAGUAAUCGACAAUCACCAAUGUGGUUUUCAACUCCUGGUCUGUAGGGUUGUCCUCAACAAGUGCAAGCGAAGGGUCUUCAACAUCCACUUUGACACAGAGGAAAUGUAGUGGUGGAAAACCCUCUAACUUAGGAGCCAGAGACAACAAGGUAGAUGAUUUAUUUGGACCUCCAUAUUCCAGUAUGAUGCCAAACUCGCUGAAAGGGAAUGAAGCUGGAAUGUUCCUUCAAAAUUGAGACCAAAAUAAAUAUUUGACAAGUCACACUAAAAGUAUUAUGUGUGCAGAAAAAAAAAGGCAUCUACCUAGAAAUAAAAUGAACUCUAUUACAAAUUUUCACACCUUAAAAGUUAAGUUUUUUGUCUCUUGUGCAUGUCCUGUAAUUUAUGUGUUAUGAUAUACCAUAAAAAAUCUCCACAUAAAUAGAAAAAAGUGAAGGCUCAAAAGUAUUUUGGGAGGGCAGUUUAAUCAUCAAUGGGAACAAAAAAUGCAAGAUGGCUCGUUAAGUACCAAAGCAUUGGCCCUUCUGAAAAAUCCAAAUCCUUUUACAAAUAUACUUAUUGAGUUGUAAAUUUUAAUCUGUCUAAUCAGUUAGAAACAAAAGCCAAGUGACAAACAUGCAUGAACUGUUCAUACAACGCAUGCGCGUCUUUGCUCACAAGAUUGAAAACAAAUUUAGACUUGGUUCCAGUGAAGUUCAAAUGUUGCAAAGCACUCAGCCUGUUCAAAACUAUAACCACUAUUUUAUGGUUUCUUGUGAAUAACUGGUUUCAACAUUUUGAUUUUUAAAAGGGUCCGACACGAAAAACAAGUGGAUUGCAAUUUGCAAUACCGCAAUGACACAGCUGAUUGGAUCUUAUUCUUAUAUGAAUUCCCUUAAGUGGUUUACUCAUUCUGUAUGCUAAAUGGAAUGGAACAUUUUGGUAGUGCUUGCAUGAAAUUGUUCCAUGAGUUGGUUGCGAGAUCUUAUGGGUUUCAGCUCUAGCCUACCCCAACUUGUUUGGGACUAAAGGCUUUGUUGUUGUUGUUGCAUGAAAUUGUUUCAUCAAGGUUAACCAGAUUAUUUGUUUCUAGAAGUAACUUGGUUUGUAGAACUCAGUAAAACAAGAACUGGAGCAGAUAAUUGGCAUAAUUUGUUUAUCAUAUGCACUUACUUAUUAUCUAGCAGAACGCAGUCUGAUUUUGGUAAUCCUUCCAGCACCCAAGUUGUAGGAUUUGGAUCCAAGUAAGAUGCAGCAGGGUGUUUACCGAGCUCAACAAAUGUCAUCUUCAUCGAAAUUAAUUUUUGACCCAAUGGCAGCCAGAAAGCUCUAUCGGCAACUACAAGGAUCUUUUGGCUGAUACACGUAUUAGAUCUCAGGAUCAUCUCAAUGUCAUGCAAUGAUGGGUGAGAGUCAAUCUGAUGCUUCUCAGCUUUCCACAAUGCUUCGCCGAUGAAACAAUGACUAUUUUUUAAUCUCUCGGGAAUAUUUUCAAAGCUUCCAAUCAGGUUGUUCAUGUACAGAUGGGCAGCAUGCAAACCAAAGAAACAUAGAUAAUAUGCAACCUGUUUUAAUCCAUAGAGUACAAUGAGUUCCAUCUUAUCUUCGUGUUUACAGUGACUAUCAAGGCCAUCUGAACCUCCUUCAGUUAUCAGUCCAAGAAGCUUCUGCUUUGAAAUGCUUAAACCCCCAUCCGAGAAAGUAUGCCUCAAAUAUGCACUUUCUUGCAAAGCAGAUGUAUAGCUUGUAUGGAUGUGUUUGAUAAGGACUCGAAUAGAAUCUGAGAGGCUGACAGGAUGAAUUUCUAUGAGCUUGUCAACUUUAGGCCUGCUUGGAAAAGAAACUGCUUCUUCAUUUAAAGUAGGGAUAUCCAAAGUAGAAAUACUUUGAGCACUAGUUCCUCUCUUGGUGCCGCUUCUGACAUUCAAGUAGAAAUUUAGUUCACUGGAUUGUGACAUUGACUCGAAUAAGGAAGUUGCCUUUUCUGAACUCGACUUUUUCAUGUGACUGUGGCCUCCAGUAUCACUUUCUUGUCUGUAUUUCUGAGCUGUUUCCGCUACAGCAGGUGGAUCAUGAGGUAGAGGGAUAGGAACAUAAGUAUUGUUCUGUUUGUCAACAUCUUGGUGCUUUGCACUUCUCCAAAAAUACUCGAGAAAAUCAAAGCCAAGUGCUGAUGUCUGCUGACAACUGACUUGCAGCUCAGAGUUUAGCUGGCAACUUUUUACCUCCUCAACCAUGCUGGCAUAGGUAGAGCAGAUCUCCCGGUUGCAUGGACCUCCCAAUAAAAGAUGCCAGUCCAAAUAAAUUCUGUCGGCUGCAGAGAGAGAAUGUGGUUUCAGGGAGUUAAGUAUUUCUCCCAUGGGGGGGACCAUAGACCUCAGUGUCAUAUCUUCAUCAGUUAAAAUAGGUGUAGGUAGUGAUCUGAAUGUAUCGUCAACCAGCACCAACUCAGAGCUAACCACUGAUUCAUAGAAACGUCUUGCUUGAUAAAAGUCGUCUUUGAAUAUUUCAUCAGAUGUAUUCAGCUCAGCUGCAUCUGACUGAACAAGCAUUCUGAAGACAUCCUCUGAAGGAAAAUCAAUGAUCUCUACUUCUUCUAAAAGAACUGAACAAGGCAAGUCUGAAAAGGUCCCAUCGGGCUUGAGAGGGUAUAGUGCUGAAUUUCUCUCAAGUAGAACAUUAUCAUUGAUCCUCACAAGAUCCAUUUGUACUGCAGCCUUGACUGUCGUUGGUUUAUCUGCUUGAUAGUCUGCACAUGGGGCAUCUUUGGAAACAAAGGCCAACAUGUCCAUAUCAGUUGAUCUCAAGAACUCAGUUGAGUUCAACACUGGAUGCUGAACUUGUGCUUCACCCAAAUGUUCGACAAGGUUAUGAAAAAUAUUGGAUACCUCUGCCUUAGUGGGACACUCAUUAAGCUCCCAGGAAUGCCUACUAACCUCCAGUUGUGGUAUUGCUACACCACAAUCUAAUGCUGCAAUCGCUGAGAAGUUACUAUUUCUUGCAGACAAAAGGUCCUCAUCAUCAUUAUGCUUCACCGGGAUUUUCUCUACUUGAUAAAUUGAUUCCGCAAGUUCUGUUGGAUAUCUCAAUGUCAUCUCAGUGUCAAUAUCAAUGAAAUCCUACAAUAAAUUCAAAUAGAAGAUGGGACUAUGAGCACAUUGUAUUAAUAAAUAUCAUGAUGCUUUGAGUUAAGAGAACACAAGGGAAGCAGACCGACAACAUACUAAUACUAACCACUAAUCGAUGGGUGAAAGCAACCUUAACUGGUUUACAUAAUUGGAUAUGACUUUAUGGUAAUGAUAGAGGUUGCUAUAUAUAGUACUUGUGCAGAACAGUGGCAAGAUGAAUGUAAAUUUUUACAUCUGAAACCAUGCUGGAUACAUAAGGUACAAGGGAACCCUGCUUCACGCCAUUGCGUAUAUAACUGUAACAGUACGCAGUAAAGGAACAGCAGUAUCACAACCUCGAUAUUCUAUACACAAUAUUUUGAUCUGCCUCUUAUAACUAACUGCAGGUCUAAGCACAACGUAGAUUCUAAAAAAAAACUAACUGCUGGAAAUUUUGAUGAGAUGAUGUAAAGUACCAAGUGAAUUUUCACAUCUGGAACAUGAAAGGAUAAGGUAACACCAUCACCCGACUGGUCACCACCAAAGGAUGCACCUUCCAAAACCUGCGGGAGAUCGACCUCUGCAACCUCAAAUAUGUGCUCCUUCAGCAGUUCCCAUCUCUAACAUCACCAAAUGCAGAAAUCACACACUGAUCUCCUACGAAACAGUCACAACACAAUUGAACAACACAGGAACAAACUGUAAUCACCUUUGUAUCAGUGGAGGUCCCCGAUCUAUCUGACAUGGAUAUGGAUCCGUCUCCCUCCCCUUCCUUCUCGCGGUUAAUCUCGUCCAAUCCCUUCAAUAAACACAAAAAUUGUUCACAGAUGUUACAUGAAAAGAGGGGGGAAACCACAAAUGCAGGGUAUACAAGCAUUAAAGCUUCACUUACAUCAGGAAUUUUCAAUGCAACAGGCUCCCUCGAGCUAAAACCCUUGCUAUACACGCCCCUGUCGUAGAGGAAAUCAUCCAAUCCCUGCGUGAAGCAUCCAGGCCGUUGCAAUUCAGAAAUGCCGCACGAAUUGCCUCACAGAGUAACCAAAUUAACCAAAACAAUACGAAGCGCCCCCAAUCCGAGCUACUUAGAUUAAAACAACACGAGUAGAGAACGCGAACCACCGCAGAAAAGCCGACUCACCUCGUCGGCGGCGGGGGUAGUCGGCACAGGCAGGGGCUGCGGAAUGACGGCCGCGAGGAACUCGGACAGCGCGGAGGAUAUGGGGAGAGAGUCGAGGCCGUCGCCGGAGAUGCUGACUGCAGGGAGGUCGGCCGCGGCGGGGAAAGGGAGAGGAAACGGGAAACGCGGGUCGGGAGGAAGGGAGGGGACGGGAAGAGGAGGGAAGCGCAGGGCCGCUAGGGCUAGGGCUCGGUCCGAGCAGGAGGCCGCCGGCACCGGAGAGAAGUAGUCGGCGGCGAGGAAGCGAGUCCGCAUUGGGAGGCGGGGAACGAAGUGGGAGGAAGGAGGAAGGCGAGUGAUUUGGUUUGAAAUGUCGAGACGUUUGAAAUUGAAUCUCGCUGUGUCGUCGCGAUGUCGUCGACCGUGCUCUGGCCUUGGGCAGCUCGGUUUUGAUUGCUUUCGGCGGUGCCUCAUCAGCGUGAGGGAAAUGGUCUAAAAAACACGCACGAUACCUGUACUCUCGUGCAAAAUCACUUUGAUCACUAUAUUACGAAAAUCACAAAUUAAAGUCGUUAGAGCAACUUGCUAGAUCCUGCAAAAACGCGUCCGGUAAAACAGUAUACAGGUCCCUAAAACGAAUUUGCGGCACCGUGCGGCAUCGAGCGAAAAAGACCUCGUAAACUAGGUAAAAGUUUUUUCCUUCUUUUUCUCCUCACGUUUCUUCUUCCACGUGAAGCACGCACGAAUGAACUCGAACUCCGACCGGCCGGUACACACGUAUGCAGUUACUGGCUGGCCGUAACACACGCACGUAACUGCUGCCGGCUCCGUGCUAGACCGCCACAAGCUCGGUCGGCUGAUCCGGCGCCGCCCUGGCAGGUCGCAUGCUCCGGCGGCACUCCAGAUAGCCAUUGCCAAGCUCUUCCGCAUGCUCGCGUAGCGCCGCCAGGCCGCCUACCCCAGCGUUGACCAGUUUACGGGUUUCCUUAAAAACGACCUCGAAACCUCCAAAUAU